CAGCCGCCACGGUAAUACGAAGGGUGCAAGCGUUAAUCGGAAUUACUGGGCGUAAAGCGUGCGUAGGCGGUUUGUUAAGUCUGCUGUGAAAUCCCCGGGCUCAACCUGGGAAUGGCAGUGGAUACUGGCAAGCUAGAGUGUGUCAGAGGAUGGUGGAAUUCCCGGUGUAGCGGUGAAAUGCGUAGAGAUCGGGAGGAACAUCAGUGGCGAAGGCGGCCAUCUGGGACAACACUGACGCUGAGGCACGAAAGCGUGGGGAGCAAACAGGAUUAGAGACCCCCGUAGUCCCUGUCUCUUAUAC
rnacentral:rRNA from 1 species